UGGGCGACGCGGUCGGGUUCCUGUAUGGAGAGACGAAUGCAGUGAUUAGAUCCUGACUUGCUGCCUGGAACAACCUGUUUUUAACGUGUGAAAAGAUCUGAGGAAGACUUUAAUGUGAAGAUAUUUCAUGAAAGGAUGAUGGAGAUACUUCUUUCUUCAGUAACCUGAGCUUCUGCAAGCACUGAACUUGACUGGAAGUUGCUUUUGGCACUGCAGCAAGAGCCAUUGUGGCUGUACCCGAGCCUGGCCACACUGUAGAGCUGCAGCAGUCACUGCUGGCCUGCCACGUUUUCUGUAGGGCUCUACCACAGCCUUACCCCCUGCUCUUGAGAUGGCCAAGCCUCUCAUUUUAGGAGAACAAACCUACAGGAUUCUUUCCAACCCAUGUUUUGCCAGUCACCUUCCCAAUGUUUUGGUACCUCUUCCCAAUUUCCUAUGCUGGUUUUACCUUCUGAGUCCAGUCAUGACAGAGGACACAGGACUGACACCAUGAAUGGUUUCAAGCAUCAGCACUUUAUUGCCCCCCAGUACCUUUAUAGCCUUCUCCCUAAUCUGUAACACCCUUUCACUCUUUUGUGACUGGUAUAUAAAAAUGAGCAUUCCCUGCUCCUUUUCCUUUGUAUGGUCACUUGUCCUACACCAGCUGCACAUUAAUGGGGUGAGACUGCCUGCAGCACUCUCUUCUUUUACAAUCUAUUCUCCCACACAUUCUCUUCUCAUCACAAUACCCUGGACUAACCAAUGUUUCACAUCCACCUCCGGCUUUUUACUUUUCCCAGUUUUCAAGUUUACUCAUCUGUGCAGCCUCCAGCUUGUCUUUAUUCCCCUUGGUAGGACAGAAAGAUGAGCAGGGGAAACACCUAGACUGGGGGGCAGGAGAACAGAUCAAAGGAGAGAGACUGCACAAGGGGCAGAAUCCAACAAGUUAAAUCACCCAAAAAAAAACCAGGAGGGAGUUUCCUCCUUGUAACACAAAGCCCCACCCUGGAACUUCUUAUAAACUAAAUAAACCACAGUGAACUAUUCAAAAGGCAAAUGUUUAUUAGAUACACUGAACUUUAAAAAACUUUAAAGAAUUAUGCAAGAAGUAUAUUUAAAUAUAACAGGUGUUAUUGCAAUUGUGCUACAUUACAAAAUCAUUUUUCUACUGUCAGCACAAUCUGAAGACCCUAAUGUUAUAUGUGAGAUCUGUUACAUUGACUCUGGCACACCGUAAGUGGUCUGAGCUUUCCUGUUCAAAUGUCAUUUGUGCUGCACCAGGCUGUUCUUGAGGGCAAGAUCAGCUCUCCAUGGAACUACAGCUUUUGUGUUUCAGCAAAUAAAGGAACUGGCAAAGAAUAACAAAAACUGCUGUUUUCCUCAGCAAAAGAAGGAAAAUCAAAAUAUGAUUUCAGGUGAAAAUAUGAGUAACAGUUCAGGAGGUAAACUCUCCAUGGCCAAGUAGUUCCUAUGAAUCCGACUCCAAAGUGCUUCAGGUGCACCAAAAGGAGAAUGACUCAGGUCCAGCAUUUACACAGAUGGAAUUAGUAACAGUACAUUACAUUCAAAUCUCUUGAUUUGCUUAUUGCCAUGCUGCACCACAUUAUUGCUUCAUAUUCUGUAUCUUGAACAAGAGGUUGAUGACUUCAGAGAGUUCAGAAAUAUCACAGAGGCUACUGACUAAUACAAGAAAACGUACAUGUUAAGGACAGGAAAUCAAAGACUAAACUCAGUCCUUUGUCACUGAGGCGUGCUGGAAACAAAAAUAGAAAAAAAAAAAAAACAAAUACUGAUUUUCCUAGAUUAAAUCUGCCAUAGCACUGUAAUAAUGGAAGCAUUCUAGGCAUGUUCUAAACAAGAAGUUUAACUCUUCUAACUAAUGAAUGGCAAGAUUUAUUUCUCCUAGGAGGACAUUAACAGUCUGGACAGUAAGACCAAUCAUAAUAAAGGUAACAAACUGGGAGGAGUAAUCCAAGCUCUUUUUCACAAUAGAUAAAAAUAUAGGUGAAUUCAAGGCACAAGUAUUUUCAAAAUUAAUGCACAUUAUUUUCUUUGGAGCUAAUCAUACAAACUAAGCCCUAAUUACACUAUUAACAAGCUGUACACAGAGCCUUUAUGUGCAUCACUUGUAACAGCACUAUCAGAGAAUGAUUACAAAAUAAUUCACAUACAGAUGUGCACACAUAAACAUUAUCAGCAUUGACUGGAUCUCUACAGUAGAAAAAAAAAAAA